CUUGCUAUGUUGUCCAGGCUGGUCUCCAAUUCCUGGCCUCAAGCAAUCCUCCCGUCUCAGGCUCCCAAGGUACAGGGAUUAUGGGAGUGAGCCACCACACCGGGACUGAUCUUUCUAACACAGGGAAAUUGUAUUCUUUAGAAGUGAGGGAAUAUUUCCUAGUAAUUUGAUCAAGUAAAAAUAAUUAUAAUAAAGAAGGUAAAAUCAAGCCCUAAUUCCCCAUGUAGGGGAAUAAUGAUAUCAUUUUGGUAAGAUUCUUCCAGACAGUAUGAUUAGGAUGUUACAUAAAUCAAACUGUGCUAUAUACAGUAUGCAGAGAAGGACAAUUCCUUAGCUUGUCUAAAGUCUGAUAGUGUGAAGAAUUUGCUGACCUGCUCUCCAUGCCUGUCUGAGCACGAGUGAAGUGAAUCAGAGAGAGAUUGCAAGAUGGAGAAAGGAGGUACAGUUGGAGAGAGUGGAGGGGGCAGGAAAGACCAGACAGAGCUGCAUCUCCCAUGAAAACAACUGUGUACAUAUGAUAGAGUGAGUACAUAGAGUACAUAGAAGAGUGAGCUCUGAAAGAACUCUCACAUGGACCCCAGAAAGAGGAGUACUCAACGCCUGCUGCACAGAAGGCAUCAGCAGUUAAGUACUGGCUAGAAAAGCAGAGUCCAUCAAAGGAGAGGACCACAGUGGUAGCUGCCUGGAGAGCUGUCCCUGCAAGCUGAACUAUCAGAAGAUGAAGAAUGAGGUCUCCCUGAAAUGCCCACCAUAAGACUGCCAGAUAUGGGACUGCUGGAUGACACUCUGGCUACCCCACUGAGUUUUAUGAAAACAUAACAGAAUAAAGACACUUACUUGUCAACUCAGUUACAAGCUAUUGAGGCACUCCAGAGUGACGGCAUGUGAUCCCCCUGACACAAGAAACAGGCCCAGAUAACACACCGUUCAGACCGACAGCAGUUCUGGUUAUGCUGCAGUACAUCAGAAAAGUGCUCUUAUCCAUCCACAGUUCUUAUCACAGUUACUUAUGCAUAUAUUCAUUUUUUAUAUAAAAGAAUCUUGAAUCGGUCACUUAAAUAUUGAAUCUCAAUAAUAAAAAAUACUAAAAGUAUA
rnacentral:lncRNA from 1 species